UAAUGUCUGGGAAACUGCCUGAUGGAGGGGGAUAACUACUGGAAACGGCAGCUAAUACCGCAUAACGUCGCGAGACCAAAGAGGGGGACCUUCGGGCCUCAUGCCAUCAGAUGUGCCCAGAUGGGAUUAGCUAGUAGGUGGGGUAACGGCUCACCUAGGCGACGAUCCCUAGCUGGUCUGAGAGGAUGACCAGCCACACUGGAACUGAGACACGGUCCAG
rnacentral:rRNA from 1 species